rnacentral:ncRNA from 2 species
AGAAAAAACUAAAUAUGCAAUCGUAUAACAUCGGUAAUACGGACCGAAAGUCUCUACCUACCAACCGUAAAUUGGUAGACUACGAUUAGUGCUGAGUUUUAU